rnacentral:rRNA from 1 species
GAUGAACGCUGGCGGCGUGCCUAACACAUGCAAGUCGAACGGAAAGGCCCUGACUUUGUGGGGUGCUCGUUUGGCGAACGGGGGAGUAAAACGUGUGGAACCUGUCCUUGUACUACGGAUAUCACCAGGAAAAAGGGGCUAAUAUCGCAUAUGAUAUUCUGCUCCCUGGUGGGCGUUGGUAAGAUUCGGCGGUUGGGGCUGGAAUCGAGGCUUACCAGCUUGUUGGUGGGGUAGGGGCUUACCAAGGCUUUGACGGGUAGCCGGCCUGAGAGGGUGACCGGCCACAUUGGGACUGAGAUACGGCCCAGACUCCUACGGGAGGCAGCAGUGGGGAAUAUUGCACAAUGGGCGGAAGCCUGAUGCAGCGACGCCGCGUGCGGGAUGACGGCCUUCGGGUUGUAAACAGCUUUCGCCUGUGACGAAGCGUGAGUGACGGUAAUGGGUAAAGAAGCACCGGCUAACUACGUG